rnacentral:lncRNA from 1 species
AGACACAACCACUAUUAAAUCGGGUCACUUACUACGCUUAGAUUGCAUGUGCUGACUUCAAAAUCCAAUAACUCCUUCAUUCCCACUUAGAAUCUAGCAAGAAAUAUGCAAAAAGUGUAGCUGCAAAAGUGCUCUCUCCAAUUGCAGUCACUGAUCCUCAAUUUCUAUCUAUAUGCAUGCGUUAUGCCAAAAAGAAAGAUAGUAGCUCUCAAAUCAAUACCUUAACUUUGAGAGCUUGUAUCUCCUUCAUAUAAACUCCAAACCAUACAAAACUUGCACCAAAACCAUAGCCAAAAACCUAAACUUGCUGAUCUUAGCCUUCAAAGCUCAAAUGGCCCUGAAAAACUAACCCUAAUCUCUAAUAUGGCCUCGGGCAGCCUCCUCAAAGCCUAUUGGUCAUGAUUUUUGACCAAUAGGAAUGGAGAUUUUCAUCAUUCAUCUCCAUUCAUCUAUAUUUGUACCCUAAUUACUUCUUUUUCUACCAAAACUCUUCUUCAAUCUUUUUUCUUAUAAUAUUUACAUAAUUUAUGCUCUAAACACCAAAUAAAAGAACUAAAAUAAGUUUU